rnacentral:rRNA from 1 species
CCUACGGGAGGCUGCAGUGAGGAAUAUUGGUCAAUGGACGAGAGUCUGAACCAGCCAAGUAGCGUGAAGGAUGACUGCCCUAUGGGUUGUAAACUUCUUUUAUAUGGGAAUAAAAUGUUCCACGUGUGGGAUUUUGUAUGUACCAUAUGAAUAAGGAUCGGCUAACUCCGUGCCAGCAGCCGCGGUAAUACGGAGGAUCCGAGCGUUAUCCGGAUUUAUUGGGUUUAAAGGGAGCGUAGGUGGAUUGUUAAGUCAGUUGUGAAAGUUUGCGGCUCAACCGUAAAAUUGCAGUUGAAACUGGCAGUCGUGAGUACAGUAGAGGUAGGCGGAAUUCGUGGUGUAGCGGUGAAAUGCUUAGAUAUCACGAAGAACUCCGAUGGCGAAGGCAGCUCACUGGACUGCAACUGACACUGAGGCUCGAAAGUGUGGGUAUCAAACAGGAUUAGAUACCCCAGUAGUC